rnacentral:rRNA from 1 species
UACGUAGGGCGCAAGCGUUGUCCGGAAUUAUUGGGCGUAAAGAGCUCGUAGGUGGUUUGUCGCGUUGUUCGUGAAAUCUCACGGCUUAACUGUGAGCGUGCGAGCGAUACGGGCAGACUGGAGUACUGCAGGGGAGACUGGAAUUCCUGGUGUAGCGGUGGAAUGCGCAGAUAUCAGGAGGAACACCGGUGGCGAAGGCGGGUCUCUGGGCAGUAACUGACGCUGAGGAGCGAAAGCGUGGGGAGCGAACAGG